rnacentral:rRNA from 1 species
UGGGGAAUCUUGGGCAAUGGGCGAAAGCCUGACCCAGCGACGCCGCGUGGGGGAUGAAGGCCUGCGGGUUGUAAACCCCUGUCGGAAGGGACGAUGCUCUAAGGGGUGAACAGCCUCUUAGAGUGACGGUACCUUCCAAGAAAGCCCCGGCUAACUACGUG